rfam:Bathycoccus prasinos genomic : Chromosome_6.
GGCAGCGUGGCCGAGUGGUCUAAGGCGCCGGAUUCAGGCUCCGGUCCGCAAGGGCGAGGGUUCAAAUCCCUCCGCUGUCA